GAUGAACGCUGACAGAAUGCUUAACACAUGCAAGUCGAUGGGGAAGUGGUGCUUGCACCAUGGUAACCAUGGCGGACGGGUGAGUAACGCGUAAGGAACUUGCCUGCGGGACUGGGAUAACAGCAGGAAACUGCUGAUAAUACCGGAUAAGGUCAUUACGCUGCAUAGCUUAGUGAUGAAAGGAGACGCCUGCGGAGAGCCUUGCGUCCUAUUAGCUAGUUGGGGGGGUAACGGCCCACCAAGGCGAAGAUAGGUAGCCGGCCUGAGAGGGUGGACGGCCACAAGGGGACUGAGAUACGGCACUUACUCCUACGGGAGGCAGCAGUGGGGAAUAUUGGACAAUGGGGGCAACCCUGAUCCAGCAAUUCUGUGUGCACGAAGACGGUUUUCGGAGUGUAAAGUGCUUUCAGCAGGGAAGAAGGAAGUGACGGUACCUGCAGAAGAAGCGACGGCUAAAUACGUG
rnacentral:rRNA from 1 species